AAGCUUUCAAGUGCUCAAGUGUCCUAGCUUUCCAAAGCUUCAAAAGCUCUCCAACUUCUUCUUCUAAUCUUCUUGUUCAUCUUUACAAGUAAGAAGUGUUGUUUGCUUUAAUAUUCCACUCCUCUAAUCACUUCUUGUGUGUGUCCACUUUGGUUGAGAGGGUUGUCUCAAUAGUACCAAAGUGUGAGAGAAGGUUUGUGAGCUCAACCAUAAAGCUCUAGUUUGGUUUUAUAGAGUUUCCGGGAAAACUCUUAGGUUGAGUCUACCUUUAAAGAUUUCAGAGGUUUUUAAGAGUUCCUUGAUACUCUAAGGUACUAACUUACCCGUAAAAGUUAGAGGUUCUUAAGAGUGCCCUUGAUACUCUAAAGUGUGAGUCUACCCGUAAAAGACUGGUUCCUAAGCGAAGUAGCCUUAAAGCUUAGAGAGGUUUUUAAGAGUUCCUUGAUACUCUAAGGUUUUGCCAUUACCUUUAGGCGAGUGAAUUCCGGCAGUUGGUCGGGACUGGACUAGCCCUUGUUUGGGUGAACCAGUAUAAAUCUCUUGUGUUGUUCUUUGUUAAUUAUAGUUCUAUCUUUUACUUAAAAACAACACUUAAUUAAAAAGAUCCCUCUUCCAGUUAUCUGGUCAAACACAGAGGUUGACUACUUUACGCAGAUCCCUCAUCCAGUUAUCUGGUCAACUAUCUGAGGUUACAUUCAUUGUUUUAAAUCCUUAUAUUUGUUCAAGUAUUACUUAUCAUAUUUAUCCAGUUAUCUGGUCACUUACUUGUUUAUCAAAUUAUCCAGUUAUCUGGUCAUUUACCUGUUUAUCAAUAUAUCCAGUUAUCUGGUCAUUUACUUGCUUAUCAAUAUAUCCAGUUAUCUGGUCAUUCACUCUACAAUACAAUUUGUGUUUCCAAUAUAACUUAGUAUCCAUAUACUAUAGUUGUGUGUGAAACACUAUCAAGCAAGUUGACUCAGUAUUCAUAUACUGUAGUAAGCUUCAAAGAGUAAUACUUACAAUAUUAUAUCAAUUAAAAUAAUAAUAUCCUUAUAUCAUUACUGUUCAACCAUUUGUUUAUUAAGCAUUUACAGGUAAUUCCGCUAUCAACCUGUAUAAAUCGAAAAGAGGCUAUCACCCCCCCUUAUGCCUCGGAUCACGAUCCAACAAGUGGUAUCAGAGCCAAGUUCCGUUGAAGUCAGACUAACAUCUUACAACAACAACUAUGGCUUCAAAUGGUGAAAACAGUACUGGUCUUGCAUCGAACAAACCUCCCAGGUUCGAUGGAGUAAAGUAUGACUUCUGGAAGAACAAGAUGAAGUUAUACUUAAAGUCAAUCAACAAUGGAGUCUGGAAAUCGUAUUGGAAGAUUAUGAGAUUCCAACAAGCAAAGAAGAGACUUGGGGAGCCAUGGAUAUCCUCAAGGAAAACAACAACUCAAGAGCAUUGAAUGCACUAUAUGGCGCUCUCAAUGAAUCUGAGUACAGCAGAAUUCGAUGCUUGGAUACAGCUCACAAGGUAUGGAAAGCUUUGGAGGAUUUACAUGAAGGAACCUCCCACGUCAAGGAAAAUAAGCUACUACAUGCCACUUCUCAGUUCGAAAGAUUCUAAUGAGGGAAGAUGAGACUAUCGCAGAAAUGAACAUUCGACUAUCACAAAUAGUCAAUGAUCUGGCUGGACUAGGGGAUCCAGUAACUGAGAAAAAGCAAGUGAGCAAGAUUCUAAGAAGCCUUCCAAACAAAUACUACUCAAAGAGGAAUGCUAUCCAAGAAUCUCAUGAUCUGAACAAACUCACAGUGGUAGAACUUUGCGGAAAUCUGAUGGCCUAUGAAGAAGAAAGAUUUAUCUCUAAAGCAAAAGAGGAGAAAAAGGACAUUGCUUUCAAAAGUCAAAGCGAUAAUGAAUCAUCGGAUGAUGACUUGGCAAUGCUCACAAAUCAUUUAAAGAGAUAUCUCAUAAAAAGGAAAGAAAAGAGAAAUUCAAGGAUAGACUAUCAGAAUUCCGACAGAAAAGUGAGUAAAAACCACAAAGACUCAAAGGAGCCCAUCUGCUACGUAUGCAACAAACCUGGACACAUCAGACCUGAAUGUCCUCUACUAAAGAAAGAAAAAGCGCAUCAAGUACACUGGUCAGAUUCUGAGUCAGACCAAGAAGACUGCCUCAUGGCUCAUGAGAACGACUCUGAGGUAAACUUUACAAAUACUAGAUUUAAUUCAUUAGAAGAAGCAUUUCUAGAAUUAAUGAAUAAAUAUAAAGCUGAGAAAAAAUUAAGUAAAUCAUUAAGACUAGAAUGCAUGAAUAAAUCACAUAUUGAUCACUCAAUAGAAUUAGAAGAAUCACAAAAAGAAUGCAUGUUAUUAAAAGAAGAAAAUCAUAAACUCUUAAGUAAAAUAGAAAAGGGAGAUAAAAAAAUUAAAACACUUAAGAGUCAAAAUUUUGAAUUACUUGAUAUUCUAGAAUCUGAAGAAAAAGAACCCAAUGAAAUAAAUGAUGAUAGGGUUGAAUUGUUAGAAUUAAAAAUAGAUAAUUUUGAGGAAAUCAUUAGAGAUAAAGAAAAAGAAACAAUCAUGCUUAAAACUGAAAUAGAAGCUAAGAAUAAACUCAUACUUGAGCAUGAAGAAACUUUACAAAAAUUAUCUGAAAAAUAUAAUUGCAUGCAAUUACAAACUAAAAGAAUAAAUGAGAAAAAUAGUGUUCUUCAGAAAUUCUUCAAUAGUUCAUCAAAGUUAAAUAAUAUGUUGCAAGGCUCGAACUUGGGUCAAAAGAAAUUUGGCUUAGGGUUUGAGUCAAAUGCACCUAUUAACAAAACCCUAAAUGCCACAACUUAUAAUGAUCAUUUUGUAAGGGAAUCUAGUUAUACAAAACCUUUGCAUGCUUUAAUACAUAAUAAUUAUUCUAGCAAUACAAAGUUCAUUCAUCUUAAGAAAAAGAAAAAUUCUAAGAUGAAUCAUCCAAAGCAAAGAUGGAUGACUAAAGAUGAGUUACGAAACUAUAAGCAGAUUAAAUAUGUUAAUUCAUCAGGACCCAACUCAGUAUGGGUACCAAAGGAUUUUUCAACUUUUUCAGGAAAAGCAUGUGUCAAAAUGGAUGUUCGACAGUGGAUGCACAAGACACAUGACCGGGGAAUCAAGUCUAUUAAACGACUUGAUAGACUUACCUCCUACUAAAAAGGUUAAGUUCGCCGAUAACAAUGAAGGUACAAUAGUAGGUAGGGGUAAUGUAGGAAAUACAGAAAAACCAUUCUUAAGAAAUGUAUACUUAGUAAAUGGUCUAAAACACAACCUGAUUAGCAUAAGUCAAUUAUGUGAUAUCGGUUGUGUAGUAAAAUUUGAAAAAUACAAUUGUUCUAUCACUAACUCUGAGUGAGUUAUCAUUGCCAGAGGAUAUAGAAAAAGCAAUGCUUAUUCUAUAAACUUUGAUAAAUCUAAACCAACUCAUGACUUCUGCAUGCUUGCUGCAAGUGAUGAGAAAGUUCUAUGGCAUAGACGACUAGGUCACACCAGCUACUCAAAACUAUCUAAAUUAUCUAAAGAAGAAUUAGUAACUGGGUUGCCUAAAAUAGCUUAUGAAAAAGGUAAUAUCUGUGAUGCUUGUCAAAAAGGAAAGCAACACAAAAGCUCGCUUAAAUCCCUUACAAAAAUAACCACUUCUAGACCCUUAGAGCUUCUUCACAUGGACUUAUUUGGGCCAACCCAAACCCAAAGUCUUGGAGGAAAAAGAUUCACCUAUGUAAUCAUUGAUGAUUAUUCUCACUAUACAUGGGUAUUCUUUCUAAGAAACAAAAGUGAAACCUUUGGUGAAUUUUCUAAAUUUUGUACUCUAGUACAGAAUGAAAAAGGUUCAUCUAUCAUAAAAAUCAGAAGUGAUCAUGGAGGAGAAUUUGAAAACUCUGACUUUGAAGAGUACUGUAUAUCCAAUGGGAUAAAGCAUGAAUUUGCUGUUCCUCAAACUCCACCUCAAAAUGGAAUAGUAGAAAGAAAAAAUCGCACUCUUCAAGAAAUGAGUAAGUCUAUGUUACAAGAACAUGACUCCCCUCAAUAUCUAUGGGAAGAAGCUAUAAGCACUGCUUGUUACACUCUCAAUAAGGUAAUCAUUAGAAAGAUCUUAAAUAAAACUCCUUAUGAACUUUGGAAUAACAGAAAACCCAAAGUUUCAUUCUUUAAAGUAUUUGGGAGUAAGUCCUAUGUUCUCAGAACAAGGGGAAACCAAGAUAAAUUUACACAAAAAUCUGAUGAAGGAAUCUUGGUUGGAUACUCAAAAAGGAGCAAGGCCUAUAGAGUCCUCCUCAAAGAAAGACAAACAUUGAUAGAAUCCCUACACGUUGACUUUGAUGAGUCCAUCUCUGUUCCAAACACAGAAGAAGGAGGAAUUGAAGUCACUCAACAAAUACCAUCUGACAUUCCUAUAGAAAAAGAUGAUCAAGAGACAAUCAUCUCUGAACUUCCAUCAAAUAGGAAUCUUAGAAACCCACACUCUGUAGAACAAAUUAUUGGAGAUCAACACACUGGCAUACAAACAAGAUCAUCUAUACAAGGCAACUAUGUCCUAGAUUGCUUUGUAUCUCAAAUAAAGCCUAAGUAGAUCUAUGUGCAUAUAUAUAUAUGAACUUAAUAUGAUCUAAUGCUAUCUAAACUUACAUGCUUUUAUCAUUCACAUGCUAAGCUCUAUACGCACAUAACUCAAUAGACAUAAAAAUCUAAAUGCAUGUCUAUCAUAUAUAUAUCAAUCACGUUAAUACAUGCCUACACAUUGAUUUACAUGCUUCUAUAAAAUAUCUGAUAAAUGCAUGCUUCAUCAAAUCUCCUACGAAAUAUUCAACUACAUAAUCAUCUGAAACAAUCAGUUAUAUACUAUGUGAUUAUGUACAUAUCAUAUGAACACAUCAUGUUUACAUGCAUUAAUAUGAUAUCAUUCACCAAACAGUUGAUUAUCUUUAUGCCAUCCUUUUAAUACUAGUUAAAGAACUAUAUGGCAUACAAUCAUAAACAUUUCCUUACUAAACUCGUUAACUCAUAAAUUUAUGAAACUAAUCCUAUACAUGCAUGACAAAAUCUUCACUUAUCACUAAUCAUCUGCAUGUUUAGAAGAGUCCGUUGAAUACAAACUAGUCAACUAUGCAACAUCGUCUAAAUGCAACAUAUUGUUAAAUCCAUUUUGCUGUAUUAUAUCUUAUCUAAAUGAUGUUGGUAAGCCACACCAUGCCUUGGAAACUCAAAACAAAUAAGAUAUGUUUUGAAACUCUCAAUGCUGAAAAAGCCAGCAAAAGCUCUACCCAUCUGCAACCAUCAAUCACUUGCGACAUCCGGCAACUCUAUUACCAGAGAAUGACCUGCAAAGAAACACCUCGCAAGAAGUGCUGACAAAAGACAAAUCCUGCACCUGCACACAUCAAUCUUCACCUGCAGAAGUUGAAAACAUCGGCUACAAAAGUCUAAAGGCAUGGAGAGUGUAAGAGUUGUGUUGAAUUACUAAAAUGUAUGAUCUAAAUAUUUAAAUAAAUAGUUUUUAAACAAAUCUUAACUUAGAUCUAUUAAACAAAAUCUCUAGAUAAAUCUAAAUGAUUUGACUCUCUAAGACAUGUGUCAUGGAGUUUUGAAAAACAAACCCUAAGUUGCCAACUCUUCACGGGUAGACAUGACUUAAAGCUUGUAAAGCUUCACAAGCAAUAUCUGUUAAUUCAGAAUCCGGACAGAUAUGAUCAGCCAAAAGUAGAAUAUCUCACUAUAAAAGGAUAGGAAGAACAAUCAAAUACAUAUCUUCUUCUUCCUAAAACCAGUCUGCCCCAAGGAUGUUGAUUCAAGAAAUCAAUCCUGAGAAGAAGGAACUAACAAUCAUACCAGACUGUCCUUCCAGUCCGGUAUACAACCCCAAUCCUUCAAGCAGCAACCCUAUCCGGAAGAAACGCACCAGAAAGAUUCCAGUAUCAGAAAUGUUCCAAGGAACACCAACAUGGAUCUCUCCAAUAGCCAAGUUUUCCUAUAAUCUCAUUCUCGAGCAAAGAAUGAUCUUUGAGGAACAUGUUCUACUCAGAUCUCUCAAUUGCAAGGUGAUUGAAGGACUGCUAAACUUCAACAGGCUCACGGACUAUCUUGAAAACAUAGGGCAGCUCAGGAUCUACAAAUCCGAAUUGGCUCAGUUCUAUGCAAAUCUCAAGUAUGAGACAGUAGGUACUCAAGUGAUCACCACCAAGGUAAAUGGAAUAUGUCUCAUUCUAAGAGCUGAUCAACUUGGAAUAUGGAUAAACCUACCCAACAACGGAGUGAAGCUUCAAAACUACAAAAGCCUGGAUGAGCUACCUUUUAAGUGCAGUUGGGAGAUUCUCUGGAAUACUCUCACCCACAGGUAUAACCCUAAGAGCACUGAUAAGAUUCUGAAUACAAUGCUCAUACCAGAAGCCUUAAUCUUUUUGAAGAUCAUCUCUUACAAUAUAUAUCCUCAAGUUGAAAAUAGAGAAGAACCAUCAACGUUGAUCUUAGUAGCAAUUUACUGCUUGCUGUCAAAGAUCAAAGUGAACUGGGUAUCGCUGAUCAUGCACAAUCUGGCUACAUCAACCAAGAACACUUGAGCUCGCUACUACCCAAGGAUGCUCUCAAGACUCUUUAGUCCAGGGUUCUUUGGAAUUCCACUCUAUCCACAUCCAAUCAUAUCUCACAUUCAACCAUUCACUGCAAGAUCCUUCCAAAAGACUUGGAGAAACACUUAUGAUCCAAACUCACAAAACACUAAUGUGUUUUUAAAUGAGGAAAUCAUAAGGGUUCGACAUCAGGUAAGGAUGCUGGAGAAAGGAAUGAGAGAUCUGGAAGAGAUGGUUUCCAUAACAAGGCAACAACUAGAUGUUGAGAGAGAAUAUAAUCUGGAGUUGGCUAACCUAUUUCAUGAGUUUAGCUCCAAGGUCAUCCCAACCAUGCACCACCAUGACUGAACUACAUCUGCCCUAAGAAGUAUUUUGAUGUUUUGAGUACUUGUAUUUUGUGUCUGUUUUUCUGUUAUUUUGAAGAUCCAUUCAUGGAUCGUAGUCUCAUUGAAUAUGAGAUCAACCCUGUCAUGUAUCACCCCUUCUACUAAAAUGAAAAAUCGUUUUAUGAUUUUAAGCUUAUAAACAUAAGGGUAUGCAUGCAUAAAGAAAAACAUAAUAUCAGCAACAUCAAAAAUUUGUGGGCUGCAUGAAUAUUAGUUAAUACUUCAAGGUAUAAAAUUAAAAUUCUUUUGAAGUAUUAAUCGACUUUUCAAAGUCUUAAACUUUAAAACUUCAAGGGCUUAAACAUAAACUAUUUUUGAAGUUUAAAAUGAUUCACUGAAAACUUAAGGAUUAAAGUUAUAUUUUUCAGUGAAUAUAAAGUUUUGUGAAACUUCAAGGACUUAUACGAAAAUCGUUUAUGAAGUUUUUAAGUUUUAAUAGAUUCACUGAAAACUUAAGGAUUAAAAUUAUAUUUUUCAGUGAAUAUAAAGUUUUGUGAAACUUCAAGGACUUAAACGUAAAUCGUUUAUGAAGUUUUUAAGAUUCACUAAAACUUAAGGGUCAAAAUGAUAACUUUACAGUGAAUAUAAAUUUAGUUAAAACUUCAGGGACUUAGAAUCAAUAUUUACAUGAAGUUUUAAUCAAAAAAUUACUUAGAAAUAUUUAAUACUUCCAAGGUUUAAAAUGAAAUUUUUUAAGUAUAAAUCUAAGUAUUCAUUAUAACUUCAAAGGGAUUAAAUUAUCUAUGAAGUUUUUCAUUGAAACAUAAAGGUUCAAAGGAUAUCAUUACAGUGAAUAAAUAUUUAGUUAAAACUUCAGGGACUUGAAAUUAAUAUUUACAUGAAGUUUUCAAAUUGAAAAGUGCUUAGAAUUAGUUAAUACUUCCAAGGUUUAAAUGAAAUAUUUCAAGUAUUAAUCUAAGUAUUUAUUAUAACUUCAAAGGGCUUAAAUGAAAUUUUGUUUUAAGUGAAGUUUUACUACGAAGGCUUUAAGGACUGAAAUGAAAAUUUUAAAUCUUUUAAAACUUAGUGAAUAUUUACAUGAUUAUAUUUGUCACUAAGACAUAGAUUUUAAAAUUUUAAAUGCUCAAUUUCUUCUUAAAGCAAUUAGUGAAUAUUAUGGAUUUAUACAUAUCAUUCACUAAUAUCUUAUGGAUUAUAACAUUAUAAAAUCUUUAAUCCAUACAUGUUAAGAUCAUCUUCAUCCAUAACACACACAUAGAUUAUUAUUCAUUGCAUGAUCUUAGCACAAGACAAUUUAAAUUAUCAUAUCAUACUUGCCUUAUAAUGUAUAUCAAAAUUGGCUUCAAUCCAAUAUUUUAUCAAUGAGCAUAAAUUACAUGUUAUUUCUCCUUUAUGAUUGACUAACACUCUUAUAAGCAAGAAGUCACAUUUGGUCAACCACACAAAUCGAAUUUGUGAUCAAAGCUCAAUAAGGUAUGAAAUUUUAUUUUCUCCACAAAUUAGAUAUGUCCUAUCAUUAAGGGGGAGAUACUUCAUAGGUAUCUAUUUUUAACUUUGUCGAUACCUUAUUAUUUUAAGGGGGAGAAAUCAUGCAUGAUCCACUGCUUUUAAAUUGAAUAUUAUGGGUCAAUAAUUCAGGGGGAGCAUGCUCAUAAGGGUAAAAUAGAAUAUUGACUAGACAUGAGUUAAAACAUAUAUGUCUUCGACAAAGGGGGAGAAUGUAGAAUCAAAAUUGUCGACAUAGGAUUAUAUUUUAAUCAUGUCAAUUUAAACCUUAAUUACACUAUUAAUCAAUAGGGGUUAAAUAAGUCAAUCGAUAUUAAACCUAACUCCAGUUAAUUAAUUAAUCAUUUGAGUUAAGGGUUUAAGUCAAAGUUAAAAGUCAAAUUGGGAGAAUUGCAUUUUCACCUUGAAUAUUAUUAUUUGGAAUAAUUGCAUUUUCACCUUGAAUAUUAUUAUUUGGAAUAAUUGCAUUUUCACCUUGAAUAUUAUUAUUUGGAAUAAUUGCAUUUUUACCUUGAAUAUUAUUAUUAUUAUCUUUUGACACUUUAUUCGAGGUAUAAUAUUCCAAGGGGACAAAACACUAUUCAUGGUUGAAUUUAUACAAAGAUAAGAUUUUCCAACAAAUUCUAUCCAAGAAAAGCACUAUUCAAGAUAAGAUCAAAGACAAAGCUNNNNNNNNNNNNNNNNNNNNNNNNNNNNNNNNNNNNNNNNNNNNNNNNNNNNNNNNNNNNNNNNNNNNNNNNNNNNNNNNNNNNNNNNNNNNNNNNNNNNGUAUCUUCCAGAUCCUCCCGCAGGAGGAAGAAGGAUUCCUUGAGCGUGAAAUCAGAGCCACCACCUGUGGUAGAAAAGAAACCUUCUUUUGAGAUUGAAGAUUCAAGCAGCAGUAGUGGUGGCAUUGUAAUGGGUUAUAAGAAAGGGGCUAAGGAGGGGGAACUGACACUCAUGCCGAAAUUGGAAGGAUUGGAGAAAAUUUUCCUGAGAUUUCCUGAGAUUUCCUGAGAAAUCAAAUCCCUGGAAUGAUUUUGUGCAGUUGUGACUGAACCUGGAAAAGAAGUUGAAGGAGAUGGUGAGAUUCACAAGGCUUCUCAUUGAGCAAACUACGUCUGGUAAAACUCCAGAGAUCUGAUUGUGUGCGAUGUUGAAGACUUGGAUAUCGGAGAGACAUGAGAUGGAUGUCGGUAAGUGUCCGGUGAAGGAGUUGAAGCUGAAGUCCAAAACCUUCAUAUUUGUCAUAAACUCAAUGUCUUCCGGAAUGCGACCUGUGAGUUUGUUGUUCGAGAAGGUGAACGGGAGAGUGGACUGCUCUAGCAGUUCAUCAUCGGCCGGUCGGGAGAAAGGUGAUCGGGAGGUGGGAGGACGAUGGGUACAUUUUUUGCCCGUUAUUGACAAUGGCAUAUCAAAGAAAAUUUAAAUAAUUUUUAAGGGUAAAAUGGUCAUAAAAAAUGAAGGUGGUUAGUUUUAACUCCAAAGCUACCUUAGGUGGGUAGUUUUGACAAUUUUCCUUGAAUUUAUACAAAGAUAAGAUUCUCCAACAAACUCUAUCCAAGAAAAACACUAUUCAAGAUAAGAUCAAAGACAAAGCUUGGAUUUAUAUGAGAAAUCAAGGAGCCAUCCAUUGAAGAUCCAAGGGUGGACAUUGAGUGGCCAAGGCUAUAAAUAGAUGGGUAAUCCCCUCAUUUUCACUCACCACACUACAAGCAAACUCAAGAGCUUUCACUCCACACUUGCCCACACGUUUUUGCCUCCAAGCUUUCAAGCUUUCAAGUGCUCAAGUGUUCUAGCUUUCCAAAGCUUCAAAAGCUCUCCAACUUCUUCUUCUAAUCUUCUUGUUCAUCUUUACAAGUAAGAAGUGUUGUUUGCUUUAAUAUUCCACUCCUCUAAUCACCUCUUGUGUGUGUCCACUUUGGUUGAGAGGGUUGUCUCAAUAGUACCAAAGUGUGAGAGAAGGUUUGUGAGCUCAACCAUAAAGCUCUAGUUUGGUUUUAUAGAGUUUCCGGGAAAACUGUUAGGUUGAGUCUACCUUUAAAGAUUUCAGAGGUUUUUAAGAAUUCCUUGAUACUCUAAGGUACUAACUUACCCGUAAAAGUUAGAGGUUCUUAAGAGUGCCCUUGAUACUCUAAGGUGUGAGUCUACCCGUAAAAGACUGGUUCCUAAGCGAAGUAGCCUUAAAGCUUAGAGAGGUUUUUAAGAGUUCCUUGAUACUCUAAGGUACUAACUUACCCGUAAAAGUUAGAGGUUCUUAAGAGUGGCCUUGAUACUCUAAGGUGUGAGUCUACCCGUAAAAGACUGGUUCCUAAGCGAAGUAGCCUUAAAGCUUAGAGAGGUUUUUAAGAGUUCCUUGAUACUCUAAGGUUUUGCCAUUACCUUUAGGCGAGUGAAUUCCGGCAGUUGGUCGGGACUGGACUAGCCCGUGUUUGGGUGAACCAGUAUAAAUCUCUUGUGUUGUUCUCUGUUAAUUAUAGUUUUAUCUUUUGUUUAAAAAAACAACACUUAAUUAAAAAGAUCCCUCUUCCAGUUAUCUGGUCAAACACAGAGGUUGACUACUUUACGCAGAUCCCUCAUCCAGUUAUCUGGUCAACUAUCUGAGGUUAUAUUCAUUGCUUUAAAUCUUUAUAUUUGUUCAAGUAUUACUUAUCAUAUUUAUCCAAUUAUCUGGUCACUUACUUGUUUAUCAACUUAUCCAGUUAUUUGGUCACUUACUUGUUUAUCAAUAUAUCCAGUUAUCUGGUCAUUUACUCUACAAUACAAUUUGUUUUUUCAAUAUAACUUAGUAUUCAUAUACUAUAGUUGUGUGUAAAACACUAUCAAGCAAGUUGACUCAGUAUUCAUAUACUGUAGUAAGCUUCGAAGAGUAAUACUUACAUUAUUAUAUCAAUCAAAAUCAUAAUAUCCUUAUAUCAUUACUGUUCAACUAUUUGUUUAUUAAGCAUUUACAGGUAAUUCCGCAAUCAACCUGUUUAAAUCGAAAAGAGGCUAUUACCCCCCUUAUAGCCUCGGAUCACGAUCCAACACUCUCAACCACACCAUUUUAUUGUGGUGUGUGUGGGAAACUAGAGUAAUGGAUGAUUCCAUUUGCUUUUAGGAAAUCAUCCAUGGUUGAGGAGAAGAAUUCUCCACCAUUGUCAGUUCUAAUUGUUUUGACAGAAAUAUCAAAGUGAUCAGUGAUAAGAGCAUGUAGAUUUUUAAAAAUAGUAAAACAUUCAGAUUUCAUAGUGAUUAAAUAAGUCCAAGUGUACCUAGUAUAAUCAUCAACCACAAUUAAAAAAUAUUUCUUCCCAUGGAUUGUUGGAGUGUGAAAGUUCCCCCACACAUCCAUGUGAAGUAAAUCAAAUGCAUAUUUAGUUCUAGAUGCAUGCAGUGGAAAUGAUUUCUUAGGUUGUUUAGCAAAGUGGCAAGUAUCACAGUAUUUAUCAAAAGUAAAGUUUUGAGAAUCAAAAGACAAAUUGUUUAAAAUGUGUUUGAGUCUAUCACUUGAAGUGUGACCCAAUCUUCUGUGCCAUGUAGAUGUUGUGAUGACACCUGCAAAAAAUUCUUCAUAACAUGUUUAUGAUAAUAGGUAGAGCCCUUUCUCCAUCUUACUCUGACCAACUUUCUUCAUCUGAAUCUUGUCAUAUAAGAAUGCACAUGAUUUAGAGAAUUGUAAAUAGUAGGUAUCAUGUCGAGUCAAUUUGCUAAUGGAUAGCAAAUUCACUUGAAAAGCUGGGAUGAAAUACACAUCCCUGAGUGUGAUGUUGGGUGAGAUAUGAAUAUUACCCUUUUGGGACACUGUUUGACUGUCCCCAUUUGGUAAUGAAAUUUUGAAAAGAUUGCAUUUUGUAAGUUUUUGAAAUAGAGAUUCAUUCUCACUUAGGUAUUUUGAUGCAUCUGAGUCAAUGAUCCAAUAUGUAUUUAAAUAAUUUUUAAAAACAGAUUUGGCAUUACCUGAGUCUUUGUGCUUGGGCAGGGGCUUUGGAUUAUAUUUCUCAGAGUAGAGUGGAAAGUCAUAUGGUCCAAUUGGAUUGUUAGGAGAUUCUGCCCUUUUAUCAUUACUGUCCCAAGCUGUCCAAGUUUGAUCAGUGUUCACACAAUUGGCUGAGCCUUGUGCUUUAUUGACCACAGAGGGUGUUGGAGUGGAAGGAUUGGUCUUGGUGAUGGAUGAGUUGUUUCUAGAGGGAUACCCAUGUUGAUUGAAGCACUUCUCAUCACUAUGUCCAAAUGCAGUACAAUGGAAACAGUAGUACCUUGUAUUCACUUGUUUACCACUUCUGUAAUAUAUUGGUUCAGUAGGAGUUGGAAGCCUCUUCCUUUGAUUGUUGGAUGAGGAUGGAGUGUUUGUUGGUUUGGUGGUUUGGUAAGGUGCUUUCUCUUUAACAGAGUAAAAGGCAGAGCCUUGAUCCAUGUUGGUGUUGUUGGUUAGUUUCUGUUGAGCUUCUUCAUGUAUAACCAUUGAGAAUACUGAAUACUUUCCCAAAGUUUGGAAGUUUUUCCAUAGAUAGAAUGGUCGAUCUUAUCUGUCUGAAGCUAUCAUUUAAUCCCAUCAGAAACUUCCUAACCUUGAGUCUCUCUUCCCUCUCAUUAAUUCUACCAUUCACAUUGCAGGUGCAAGUGAUACAACUACAUCGGGGAACCUCCCCAUAGGCAUCUACCUCCCUCCAUAGUGUUUUAAGAGUGGAACUGAACUUAGAAACAGUGUUUGAUCGAUCCUUGUUGUAGUAAAGCAAUGUCCUGAGUGAGUUGGAACAAAUGAGUCUCAUUGGAUUGUUUGAACUGAUCUCUGAGGUCAGCCCAAAUGAUGCUAGCAUCAUCAGUGUACAUUAUCUGAAAAGCUAUCUCCUGAGAGACAGAACUCCAUAUCCAUUGGCGAAUUAUUCCAUGACAAGUCACCCAGGCUUCAUGUUCCUUAAUUGCCCCAUUUACAAAACCCAACUUCCUCCUAGUAAUUAGCAUGAUAGUCAUCUCUUUAUUCCAGGGAUAGUAGUUCUGAGUACCUUGUAGGAUGUUUAUUAUUUAUAGUGGACCAUAGUCUGUGGAUUUGAAAAAAUAGAUAGAUGUGGGAUCAAAUAAGGGACCACCAAAUGGUUUCUUUUGGACAGUCUGGACUAUUUCAUUUUCUGCCAUGAUGAGUAUUCUAUAACAUUUUUCAUGAUAAUAGAAUAGUAUUAAUUUAAUACGAAAAAACUUUGAAUGAAUCAAAAAUUGUAGAAUAAAAUUCGAGUUAAGUGAUUGCAUUUGAGUAGUGGUUUUUAUCCCACCUUUAAUUAAUUUGAGAUGAUGUAGAAUAAUGACUAGAUGGCAUUCAUUCUUAGAGUGAUCAAUUAGCAACGGAAGCAAUGUAAAAGCAAUAUCCAUCUUGAUUAUGGAUUGAGUUUUAUUUAGCAUAAAAAAUCAGCAGAACUACCAUCAUUAUCAGAAUGAAACUUUAAAUGUAUUUUUCUUUGCAUAUUAGGUAAAUGAACAGAGACUGAACAUUAGUUAGACAUACAAAAAAGAUAAGUUUUACUCAUAUUAACAUGCAGUAGUUUGCUUAUAUUCAUUGAACCUACAAAAACAAGAUAUUCUUUCAUAACAGUCAACAGAACAUGAUAUGGUAGGAAUAUCAGUUUAUAUAAGAGCAUCAGAUCAAAGAGGGUUUGUUAUAAACACUGAUGUGUGUACACAUCAAUGUUUUCAAGCCUCACACAUGAUCUUGUCCUUGAAAGUAACAUGCAGUGUGAUAUAUAUAGACAUGCAGUAAGUAAUAACAUAGAUCCAAGAAGUUUAACAUGAAAUGUAUGUAUGUCGACAUUUUUAGACUCAAAAUAUGAUGUCAGAUUUAACAUGGACAAACAACAUGUUGAGCAUAGACAUGCAACAGGUAUAUAUUUAGAUCUGAACAAACUAGCAUACAUAGCAUUCAUAACAUUUGAAUCUAUUUUAUCACAAACAGAGUUUAGAUAUAUCAGUCUUUGCUUUGCACAAAGAUGUCAGAGAGUUUGACGGAGUCAGUUUUCCCUUUUGAAACUCGAGUCGUUCUCCUUCGCGUUUUCUGAUUUGUUGAAACCGUAGUUGAAGGAUUAGCAGCGCAGCACUCCACAAGGCUUUGAUACCAUGAAGAAACUGGAGAGAUCGAAGUGUCGUGUGCACCGUUUGAAGAUUAGGUUUAGGAGAUGAGCAACCAGAAGAACGAAGAGGAGUCGGUUGGGAAGAACCCAAGCGUUUUAGGGUUUUUGGUAUUUGAAAAAGAUGAUAAAAAAGUAUUACAAGAGACUAUUUAUACUACUCCUAUUUUAACUUAAUGGGCCAACAUUAGUUGGGCCUGACGUAGUUUAACUUAAACUUAAAUUUAAACAUAAACAGGAUUAAUCUCAAUACGACUAGUGUUAAGCAAACCUUGAAAAAAACAGGAAUAGCUAACUAAAAAAUUAGAUAACUACAAACACGAACCGAAAUAAAAAACAAAGAAAACGGAGGGAAAAAAAAAUAUCGGAAAUCGAAAAAAAAACAAGCCGAUAAUAAAUAUACAGAACUCGCAACGGUAGCGACAGAAAGGGAUAGAGAGUAAAAAAAUGAAAAACUAUAAAAGAAGAAGAAAAAUAUACUAACACGCCUACAUACAAACGAAACAGUACCUAAGGAAAAGUUUCCGUUGUAGGAAGUCGAGGAAGGAGGAAGACGGAGAUGAGGGAAGAACGGAGGUCGACUAGAGACUACGUUAAUAUGUUAGAAAGCAGUGGACUACAGCAGGUAUGUAGAUAGGGAGGAGGGUAAAGGACGGAAGAAGGAGGAACAAGGGAGAAUGUAGUGUAACAUCCUCUUACAAUAAGAGGGAUGUUAAUAAUAUCAAUCUAAACAUUUAAACCAUCAGGUGAAAACAAACAAACAUGUUGUACUUUCCCUAAUGUCGAGAAUCAACAUAAUAAUAUGUCAAUAAAAUAAAAGUUCAAAAUUUGUGAAUAAAGUCCAGAACAUCAUCAUUUACUAGUAAGACUCUAGAACAUUAUUAUAAAUAAUAAACAGGCACCAACGGAGUUCAUAAUAUUCAUUAGGAUGAAGCACCACUACUCCUGAUGUUAACUCUGCUCCACCCUCCUGUAUCCAUGCAAUGUAACUUCAUCAACGUCCCCAUCCUAUAAAUUUUAUAACACGACACAACAUAGCAAAGCAAAAUGGUUGAGUCUCAACUGACUCAGUAUGGAAGUCUGUACUUAUGAUUCCACAUAAGGAAUAAUAUACCAGUAUUCAUUCUUAUCACCUAUAAACAACCAUAAAAGUAUCAAUAACUGAAAUUAAACAAACUAUUUAACGACUAUUUGUAGCCUAAUUCUUGUCAUAUUGUUCAUCUCAUCAUGAGAUUCAUGUCAUGUCAUAUCGUGUUUCUCAUAUCAUUUUAUAGACCUUCAUAAUAUCAUUCAACAUCGUCAUCUUUCGAACUUAACAUCAAAACAGAAUUUUUACCGAUGAAAACAGAAAAUAUAAAGACCGAGAAAACUCCUACUCAUGACUCCCUAAUCCCUCAUUCAAUGUCAAAUAAAAUUCAAAAAAAAUAUACUUCACUCCCCCUUCUCAAAACAGUACAAACUCACCAUAUUUUGGAUUAAAUCAUCACGUAAUAAUACUCCCGACAACUCUGGAAUAAUUAAAAAAAUAAGCGAAUCAAAAUAAAAAUCAAAUCAGAAUAAAUGACAAUACUCGAGAACAAACACAAUCAAUCUCAAUCACAAUGAUAAGAUAAUAACACUACGGAAUCUUCGAAGAAUUAGUUAUGAAAUCAAUCAUAAAAAUAUCUAAAAUCUUUAAAAUCAUGACAACAACACCCACCUUCAAAUCUCUGAAAAUUUGAUAGAAUUAGAUUAAAUCCAGCAAAUUUAAUUCUAAAUAAAAUGCAACACCAAACAGUAGAAAGGACCCAACUCCAAUAUCUGAAUAUCAUCUGAUUUUUUUAUAGAAAUGGUCAUACUCUAAUCCACCUAUGAAUCCAUCCCAUUUUCAAUGGAUAUCUAUGUAUCACUUGUUGAACUAUUUCAUGUAACACAUAACCUAAUCAUGUUUCUAUUUCUAUCUAUCAAUAGAAUCAUACUACUUAAACCCCAAAGAUUUACAGAAAAUCAUAAGAACAUAUUCUAAACCCAUACCUUAUUGAUCAACUCACAACCUCCACACCAAGAUCGAAAUCUCCCCUUAAGAUCGAUUGAUUUCUUUCCUUUUUUUCCUUUCCUUUCCUUCUUUUCUCUUCUCUUCUUUUCCUUUUCACCCGUUCCUCUCCUCCUAGACCUCUACAUCUUUUCAUUAUAUAAUAGUUUAAUUAGGGCUCAUGCCCCCACAUCUUGAUUUAAUGGCUUAAUUGGCCUUAGUGCAUAUUUAGCCCAACAAGACUCUUUUUAAUUAAUUAAUUUUUUUUUUUUUUUAAAUUUCAUGAGGGUUUUUACAUGUAGAACAGGGAAAAGGUAUGAGAAAAAAGACGGAAGGAGGAGAAAUAUGGUGUCUUGUUUUGAUUGUUGGAAAAAUGGUGAAUGAGGUUGAGUUAAAUAGGAAGUUCAGGUAGGUGCAUUGAGGUGGCGGUUGUAGGUUACUUAGCAUUUAGGGAGGAAAUAUAUUAUAGGUUAAUUAUGAGAUUAGUCUGAUAGACACGGAUGCCAUGCACACCUGAUCUGUAUUAAUAAAGAACCCAACUUUAUUUAUUAUUCUACGGUUCUGUAGUUCUGCCUUGCGAAGAAGAAAUUAGAAUGGCAAUUGCGGGAGAUGAAACAGACAUACCAGAUUUGGGAUAAUUCCAAGUUUCCAACAACUGUCUGUAAUCACAUCGAUGAUGACGAUGGAUAUAGAUUCAGACUUGAGGAACAUCGCCGUUUGGCAUUGUGAUCGAAAGAGAGAGAUGGAGUUCCGGAUGGUUUUCGCCGUAGUCUUACUGUCCGUGUCUUGCUGGAUAUGCGUGGUUUCCGAUUCUCAUUACGUGAAGUACAAGGACUCUAGUCAGCAUGUAGAAGCCCGUGUGGAGGAUUUGUUGGCCAGGAUGACUGUGGCGGAGAAGGUCGGCCAGAUGGCUCAGAUCUAUCGCUCUAUCGCGUCUGAAUCAGUUAUCAAGAAAUACUUAUUGGGUAAUUAAUCUUUUCCAUCUCCUUAACGUAGGUCGUCUGAAUCGUGAUUGAUUAUUAUUAACUUGCUCAGGGAGCGUGCUUAGUGGGGGUGGAAGUGUGCCCAAAUCGAAGGCCACGCCCAGGGAUUGGGUGGAUAUGAUCAACGGAUUGCAAAAAGGUGCGUUGGAGACUCGUCUUGGUAUUCCGAUGAUCUAUGGCAUUGAUGCUGUUCAUGGUCAGAUUUAUGCUUAUAAAGCUACCAUUUUCCCUCACAAUAUCGGCCUAGGAGCAACCAGGGACUUAAAACUUGUAGAGAAGAUAGGUGCGGCAACGGCGUUGGAAGUUAGGGCAACUGGGAUUCCCUAUGUCUUCGCUCCAACCGUUGCUGUAAUUGCUACUUCAUUACUUCACUGCAACUCAUUAUUGUUUGGUUAAACUAGUUUACUGAUUCUUAGGUAUGCAGAAAUCCAAGAUGGGGUAGAUGUUAUGAAAGCUACAGUGAAAAUCCAAAGCUCGUCCAAGCUAUGACGGCGAUGAUCAUACCUGGUCUACAAGGCAGGAUCCCAAAAGGAUCGUCCAAAGGCGUUCCAUAUGUCGCCGGAAAGUACGUACACUGAUAAAAAAUAAUCCAGUGUAUGUUACAGAUGUGAAAUAUAACAAGAAUGUUUUCAUCAGGAACAAUGUCGCGGCAUGUGCCAAGCAUUUCGUCGGAGAUGGUGGGACGGAAAAUGGAACCAACCAGGGAAACACGAUGAUCGAUAGAAAGGGGCUACUAAGCAUACACAUGCCACCGUAUCGUAAUGCGGUCCUGGAAGGCGUGUCAACUGUUAUGAUCUCGUAUUCAAGCUGGAAUUUUGUGAAGAUGCACUCUAAUCAAGACUUAAUAACUAAUUAUCUUAAGAAAAAACUCAAGUUCAAUGUAAGUACUAUAAACAGGAUUCAGACUAGGAUUUUUAGGAUUUUUUAAACCAACUUUUCAGCUUGAUUUUGUUUUCUAGGGUUUCGUGAUCACAGAUUGGGAAGGGGUUGAUCAACAGACAAAUCCUCAAGGCAUCCACUACAAAUCUUCUCUGGAAACCAGCAUCAAUGCAGGGAUCGACAUGGUGGAUUAUAAAAUCUGAACAGCAUUGUUGUUUGGAGUUGGUUAGAUGAUUCUGAAUUUGAUGUUUUUGUGUAGGUGAUGCUUCCAUUCAAUCUGACAAUGUACUUGAAAGAUAUUAAGUCUUUGAUCAAAGAGAAGCGGAUUCCGAUGUCUAGGAUCAACGAUGCAGUUCGAAGAAUCCUUCGAGUGAAAUUCACAAUGGGAUUGUUCGAGUAUCCUUUGGCCGAUUACAAUCUCACACAUGAACUCGGAAGCAAGGUUUUGUAAUUUGAAUAUCUCCAUCUAUUCAUCAACUUUUUUUUUCCUUUUUGAUGUCAUUCUCAUAAAGAUCAGAAACACCAAGAACUAGCGAGGGAAGCUGUGAGGAAAUCACUAGUGUUGCUUAAAAACAAAAGGCACGACGGAAAACCGUUUCUACCACUUCAGAAGAAGGUUAAUAAGAUCUUUGUCGCCGGGACUCACGCCAAUAAUAUCGGUUUCCAAUGCGGCGGGUGGACUAUUAAUUGGCAAGGAUUCAACGGAAACAAAGAUACCUCCGGUGAGUAAUCGAUUUUUAAAAUCCUUAAUUUUAAAAAUCCUAAUUUCAAUUUUUUGUCGUCUAUCUUUAGGUGCGAGUAUCUUGAAAGCCAUAAAGAACACCAUAGGAUCCAAGAGGAAAGUCGUGUUUAAAGAAAAUCCAAAACCACAUGACAUUAGCAGCAAUAAGUAUGCCUACGGAAUUGUCGUUGUCGGAGAGCUGCCUUACGCAGAGACCUUCGGAGAUAGCGUUAACCUCACGAUCCCUGAGCCGGGUCCAAGUGUGAUCAAGAACGUAUGCAGCAAGAUGAAAUGCAUUGUUAUAUUGAUCUCCGGCAGGCCGUUGGUCAUCAAACCAUACAUCAAGAUGAUCGACGCACUUGUUGCUGCCUGGUUGCCUGGCACGGAAGGUCAUGGCGUGACCGAUGUGUUGUUUGGAGACUAUGGAUUCUCUGGUAAGCUUUCUCGGACUUGGUUCAAAUCUGUUGAACAGUUACCAAUGAAUGUCGGAGAUAUACAUUAUGAUCCACUCUUCCCUUUCGGAUUUGGGCUUACUACCAAGCCGAAAAUGUAACAAUCACUCAAAGACUAAAAAGAGGGAAGAUCUGAAUAUUACCAUAGCGGAGAACUCAGCCGAGGUCGUUGUUGCAGGAACAAAUUACUUAUAUAGAGAUAAUGAGUUUCUGUGAUUUUUAAUAAAUUGAAUGAAAGAUCCUGAAGGAUUUGCAUGGUAAGGAUCUCAUUGACAUUUACAAUCCUGAAGAUUGUUAAAACUAUGGUUGGUAUAAACUUCCGCGUGUCUGAUAGCCGUUCCAGUACGGUUCUAGCCAGCGCAUCCAACCACACUGGCGAGAACCGCACCAGAAGCGGAUCCUUUGUAUUUAACCCAUAAGUUACUAAUAUAUUAUAAAAUAUAUAUUUAAAUUCUAAGUUACUAAUAUAUUAUAAACAUUUAUAAUAUUUGGGUCCGGAUAAGACUGGGACUGGCUAAUCUGGAUCCGGACUCGGGUUACUAACUGACCUGGUCUGAACCCGGACCUUCGGGUCCAAAACCUUUAAUGGGACUAAAAUUUGUCCCAGACCUGGACCCGAACGAAGCGGGUCGCUUAUAGAUCACCUUCAAGGGAUCAACUCACCAAGUUGGUCACCUUCAAGGGAACUUAAAAAGUUGAUCGCUUAUAGAUCACUAGCGAUAGGGUUUCUUGCGACUAACGUGGUGACCAAAAAGUUAGUCUCUUUUUUCUAUAAGCGACCAACUUAUGAUUUUUUGCCUUUUUCUAUAGUGCGUAGAUAAGCCUUUUUCUUGUAGUGAACGGUCUUCGUCAAAGGGUUGCCGUGUAUUACAAUCAGACAUUUGCGUUGGUAGUCAAACCGGUCAUGGUAAGAAUUGCAUUGAGGUUAGCAAAGGAUGGUCAACGACACAAUUCGACAUCUCCAACACAUUCUUGCACGGGGUACUUGACGUGGAAGUCUUCAUGUGCCAACCAACAAGAUUUAUUGACCCAAAAUUUGAGCAUGGUUCUAUGAAGACUAUAAGUGUAGAUUGUAUACAUUGAAUUGAAUGAGUAGAGUUGAUUACAUUGGUCUUUAUUUAUACUAAUUUCUCUAACUAAUUGUUGUUAAGCUAUGGUUACUAACUGGAGUAUGAUUCACACACACACCCUUCAUUCAAUCUGAGUGCUCGAGCGAAGAUUAAGUCUAUCUUUUAAUAAUGAGAACUGAGUCGUUGAUAGACCUUUUGUGAAUAUGUCUGCAACCUGACACUCUGUAGGUAUGUAAGAAACUUGAAGCACCCCUUUUUCAAUAAGUUCUCUUACAAAAUGGUAAUCGAUGUCCAUAUGCCUGGUUCGAUACUUUCUUAUUGGGUUUGAUGCCAAGAAAAGAGUCGACUUGUAAUUAUCACAGUAUACCAUUGGUGGUUUCUGGAUUCGAAUUACCCAAAUCUCGUAGUAGAAAACGAAGACCUCGAACUUCCGAAGUUGCGCUAGCUAGAGCUCAAUAUUCUGCUUCGGUGCUGGAACGAGAAACUGCAACUUUUUCUUUGAAAAUCAGUUUACUAAGUUUGAUCCUAUAUAGAAACAUGCUCCAGUAUAAGAUCGUCGUGUAUCUGGAUCUCCUUCCCAGUCAGCGUCAGUAAAUGUGUUGAUAGUGUUAUUUGAAAAUUGGUGUAACGCUUCAUUGAAUAUUCGAAUAUCUCUCUUUUGAUCUUUGAAGUACUGAAUUCCAUUGUUUAUAGUCCCUUUGAUGUAUCUUAAAAUACGUUUUACUGCUCUAAGGUGACUCGUUUUUGAAUUUUGUAAGAAUUGUGCCGCUUGUCCUACUGCAUAAGAUAAGUCCGGACGAGUUAACGUGAUGUAUUGUAAUGACCCAACGAUUUGUCUAUAAAGAGUGAGAUCAUAUACAAUUUCUCUAUCUGUAGCUGAUAGUUUUGAGCCUGAUGCUGUAGGAUUUGAGACAAAAGCACAGUUGGCCAUAUUAAAUUUGGCUAAGAUUUCUUUUGCAUAUUUUUGUUGAGAGAUUAAUGCUCCUUUUUCAUUGUAGACGAUUUCAAUGCCUAAGAAGUACCUGAGCAGGCCUAAAUCUUUACAUUUGAAUUGUUUGCAGAGAUGUGAGAUUAAUAUGUUUGUGUGCCUAAGAUCAUUCCCAGUGAUAAUUAAAUUAUCAACGUAGAUAAGAAUAUAUAUUAUUUUACCCUUAUUUUUCUUUAUGAAGAGUGAUGAAUCUGUCUUGCUGUUAAUAAAUUUCAUUCUUAUAAGAGUUGUUGCCAAUUUGUAAUACCAUGCCUGUGGAGAUUGUUUGAGAUCAUAUACCACUUUUUUUAAUUUGCAUAUGUGUUUUGGAUAAUUUUGAUCUUUAAAUCCUGGAGGUUGCCUCAUAUAAAUUGUUUCUGUUAAAUCCCCAUGUAAGAAAACGUUGUAAACGUCGAGUUGGCGUAGUGUCCAAUUCGAUGAAAUGACGUGAGCGAUAACAGUACAAAUGGUCAUGUGACGUAUUACCGAAUUAUAGGUUUACUCGUAGUCUAUUCCAUAAUCUUGAUGUAGCCCUAUUGCUACUAAUCGCGCUUUGUAUCAGUUUAUUUUACCUUCUGAGUUUUUCUUAAUUCGAAAAACCCAUUUAGAUCUAAUAAUGUUCAUACCUGAGGUCGAUUUGACUAGUUCCCAUGUGUUAUUGACGUGUAAUGAUUUUAUUUCCUCCUUCAUUGAUGUUGAUCAUUUUGGUUGACUUAUAUAUUGCGAUUUUGUAUCCCGUUGACUCUUUUUCUUCUAAGGAAGUUGUAUAAGCUACAUAGUCAUCAUCUUUAGUUGGUUUUUUUCUAAUUUUUUCUGACCCUCUUAUUAGUGGUGUAUUUCUGACCCUCUUUAGUGGGAACAUUGCACUUUCUUUCUCUUCUAUUUCGAAUUUAGGAAAUUCCUUUUCGUAGAACUUGACAUGUCUUGAUAUGAUUAUUCUUCUACUUGAUAUGUCAAUGCACUUGUAUGCUUUAUGAAUCUUCGAGUAGCCAAGAAAUAUGCAUUUGGUGGAUUUGGUGUCGAGCUUGCUCUUGCCUUGGUUUAAUAGCAAUGGAUAACAAAGACAAUCGAAAACACGUAGUAAUGACUAGUUUGGUCUUUUGUUAAACAAUAGUUGGUAAGGAGAAUAUUCAUCCGGGUUUGUUGAUGGUAAUCGAUUGAUAGUGAAAACUGUAGAAUCUAAACUGUCGAUACAUAGUUUGUGUUGAUAAUCAUAUUUAAUUAACUCUAAUCAUGUUAUUAGUCAACAAGGUGAAUUGAAUUUUGAAUUGAACUUAAUCUCAAUUAGGUCAUAUUAAAACCCUAGAAUAAAUUGACCAUGUCUAAACUAAGUCAAAAAUCAAAAGUCAAUUGAUGGUCAACGAGUCAACAUUUUGACUUUACUAUUCAAUAGGGUAAAUUGAUCUUGAAUUAAACCUAAUCUCAAUUAGGGUCAUAUAAACCUUAGAAUUAUUUGACCAUGUAUAAAUUCAAGUCAAAACCCUAAUUUUGUGGUCAACAGGUUAAUGUUUUGUAUUUGUAUUUAUUCCUAAUUACCAUUAACCAUUCUUAAGCUUUGUCUUAUAGAAAUAUUCAAAAUAAGGAUGGAAAUUCAAAAUCAAGUAAUACAUGGGAAUAUUACAAACGUUUUUUUAUGGAAAUAACACAAAGAAUACAUUGGUUGAAGAAAAGCUAAACCUUGAUUAAAGAGUGCACUUACAUAGAAGGAAGGAAGAAUCUUUAACAUAUUUUGGACUAUUGUGAGAGAUCAAGGAACCAUUAAUUUAAGAUCCAAUGGAAGAGAUCAAGUGGUCAAUGCUAUAAAUAGAGAUGCACACUAAGUGAAAUCUCAACCCACAUAGAAGAGCUUUUCAAAUAUCCACUUUGAGUUUCUCAUUUCCACCUCCAACGUUCACAACUUUCAUAAACUUCCAAGCUCCCAACGUUUCCGAAGUUGUGCCCAAGUGUUCUUGCUCAAGGUUCAUCAAAGCUCUAUACUUCUUCUAAUCUUCUUGAGUGUUCAUUGCAAAGUUGAAGUGUUGUAAUCUUAAACUUUCUCCAUUUUUUUUCUUGUGUGUUCCACUUUGGUUGAGAGGGUUGUCUCAACAUCACCAAAGUGUAAGGAGGGUUAUUGAGCUAAACCAUAAAGUUCUAAGUUGGUUUUAUAAAGUUUUCUGGUAAAACUUUUAGGUUGAAUCUACCAAGAUUCAAAUUUGGUUUUAUAGAGUUACUUGGAAAACUCUUAGAUGCUAAGUCUACCUGGAAAGACUUGGGAAGUUGCAAGUUUACUUGGAAAACUUGAGAGGUUCUUGAGCGUUGUACCCUGUAAAAACUCUGGUAAGUUUUGCCAAUACCUUUAGGCUAGUGAAUUUCGUGAGGUAAUUUCACGAGAUUGGACGUAGGUCCGUUUGGAUUGAGCCAGUAUAAAUCUCAUUGUGUUCAUUGCUUUAGUUAAAUUCCUAGCUAUCAUUUAACACAAAAUCGAUUAUUACUAUUGCUUAUCACACUUCGAAUUUAAAACCUAUCUAUAUAUAUAUUUAUACAUACUAUUUAUAUACUUAUUUACUUCAAAGUCCUUGUUAUCAGGUGCUCAAGAGGUCAUUUACUUUUAAGUUAUUUACUUUAAGUCCUCGACCUGUUAUCAGGUGUUCAAGAGACCAUUUACUUUUAAGUUAUUUAUUUUAAAUCCUCGACCUGUUAUUAGGUGCUUAAAAGGUUUGCUAUUUUUACUAAGCAUAAUAUAUAUACUUAUAUAAUAAUAAUAUUAUAUUAUAUUAAUAUUGAUAUUAUAUUACUAUAUUGUUUGUCAUUACUAUUACUGAGUGUUAUUGCAGAUAUUCCCGCUAAAAUCUGCAGUACGCGAAAAGAGACUAUCAACCCCUCUUUAUAGCAUCGGAUCACGAUCCAACAAAAACAACGGUGUUAAAUGCCUCCAAACAAAAUUGAUGUGAAAGUGACGAUUGAUGAAAUAAACAUCUUCCUGUUUCAACUAUAUGUCGAUGCUUUCUUUUGACUAUGCCAUGUUGUUGUGGUGUAUAUGGGGCGGAGAAACGUUGAGGGAUUCCCUUAUUCUUGAGGAAGUUUUGAAAUUCCCUUCUUGAAAACUCGCCACCAUGAUCUGUUUGUACUAUUUUAUUUUCUUAUUUACAAGAUUCUCUAUCAUUACAACAAAUUCUAAAAAUAUUUAAUAAAAUUUAUUUUUCUUUCUAAGUGAAAAUAGCCACGUAUAGCGUAAUCAUCAAAUAUCGAAACAUAAUACUUGAAUGAAAAAAAUGAAUAUGUUGAUGAGGGGUCCCACACGUCAAUGUGUAGUAGUUGUAAUGGAUGAUUUGCUCUCGUACCUUCUUUCAAAUGGUAGACGAUGUGAUUUGCUUAAGGCAUCAGAAUCUCAAGACUUGUUUAAAAUUGAAAUUGAUUUAUCAACUUUCUGUAUGACUUUAUUUGUUGGAUGGCAUAACCUCCUAUGUCAUAUGGUCGAAUUUUCUUUCUCACUUAGUAAACAAUAACUCGAUCUUCCUUGUAAGAGAUAUAGACUCCUCCUACUAUUCUCAGUCAGUAUCGUAGUUCCUGUCUUUUUCUUUUUGACAACAAAACCAUUUUCAGUUAAUAAAACAUUAGCAUCAUGAUAAUGACAUAAUCUCUGAAUUGAUAUGAGAUUUCUUGUGAGUUCAGGGAUGCAUAAGACGUUUUUGAGCAAUAUUUCUCCAUGAGUUGUUUUUAUUUUGAUGGAACCAACAUGUAUAAUAUUUAAUGGUGUACCAUCACCAACGAAAAUAUCAUCAUUACCUUCAAAAGGAGCGUAAUCCGUGAAUCUAGAGAUUGAAGGAGACAUGUGAUGAGUGGCGUCAUAAUCUAUUACCCACUCAUCAUCGGCUUCACCAUUGUAUGUCACAUAAGCAUAGUUACCCAUCUGAUAGCAUUUUCUUGUUGUGUGACCUAGUUUAUUAUACAGUUGGCAUAUCACAUUAUCAUUUAUAAAAGUCGCUACCUGAAUUUUUGGGUUUAAAUCCCUAAAGUCGGAUUUUCCUUUCCCGUUCCUUUUGUAGGAAUCACGAUGAGUAGAGACAUUCUCAUAUUAAUUUGUGAUUAUCACGAUGAGUAGAGACAUUCUCAUAUUAAUUUGUGAUUAUCACGAUGGCAGUGAUAAUCAUUUCUGUAACGAUUUUCAUCUUCAUAUUCACGUUGAUUCUUGUUUUUACCUUUUUGAUAUUAUUUUCUUCCUUUAAAAUUUCGACGAGGGCCACGAGAAGCAGCUAAAGCGUUAACCUUCGACGAUAUCGACGAUGGAUGAUUUCUUUAUCCGUUUUAGCAAGUGAUCCUCUUGUAAAAAAAUUCCAAACACGUUUUGAAAUAUGAUGGAAUCCCUCUGGAAAUGAAGAUUAUGCAAGAAGUUUCUGAACUCGUCCUCUAAUCCGUCAAUUACAUAGUCUAUUAGAGAAUCUUCCGUUACUGGAGUCCCACUUGCGAUUAGAGAAUCGACAAGUUAUUUUACCUGUACAAUGUAGUCUGUCAUUGACAGAUCUGAAGUCUUCUUAAAUGUGUGCAACUGGUCCUUGAUAUGCCUGGUGUACUGCUUGCGUUCCGGAGAUAGCGUUGCCUCCAAUUUCCGCCAUAUCGCAAGUGCAAAAAUUUCAUUUCCGAUGAUCGGACAAAUUGGGGGAGACAUCGUCGCUUUGAUCCAUCCGACAACUAAAUAAUUCUCCUUUAACCACCGAUUGAAGUCCGGAUUUGGUAUAUCAUCACCAAUCGUUCUAUUUGGUGGAACAUAGGUCUCGUCGAUCAGAGGUCUUGCACCAGAAACAGAUGUAAUUGUUCUUAGACAGAGACGUAUAGCACCAUGAUAAAAUAUUGAACGUCGUUGGCAACGUAUUAUGCACGUUUGCAGCAACAACGACAGCAGAAUCCACAUUUCUUCCCGCCAUCUCUUAAUUCUUUUGUAGUAGAAAAACUUGUCCGUGUCAACCUCUAGAAAUCGCGAUCACAAAUACGUCUGUGUCAAGAAAUUAAGAAAUCGCAAAUCAAAGAAACCAAUGAAUUGUAGGAAAUUACGAUGCGUCAGAAGUCUACGGUGUCUGCAGCAAUUUGCCCAUGCGUAUCAGCAACGCAGCAGCAGAUCGAUAGUAGAAGUGGCGACCAAUCACGAUUUCUUACAGCAGUUGGAAAACGCACACCGCGUUCGUCUGUCUAUGUCCGCAAAAUUAAAAUUCGUAAACCAUAAACAACAACAAAACUCCAUGUCAAACAGCAAUUGGAAAAAUCGCACACCGCGUCAAACAGCAAUAGAACUCCGUCCGUCAAAUAGGAAAUCGUGAUUUCUUACACCACGUUAAACAGGAAAUCAUGAUUUCUUAUACUGCGUCAAAUAAUGAUUCACAUCCGUCCAAGAAACUGUAAAAUCGUCAUGUGUUUCUGCGUAUUAGCAAAAAUCGCAAACCGCUGGAAAUCGGAAUCGCAAAUUGCGUUCGUCCAUGUCAGCAGCAGUAGAGAAUCGUGAUUUUUCCCAAAUCUGAAAAUAGCAAAUCGCAGCGUCCGUCUGCAGCAGUGACCAAGGAUCUUCCCUCCAGAGCAUCCGCCUAAGUACCCACCGGAGUACCUAAACUGAUAACAUAUGAAGACUAUAAGAAGUGUAGAUUGUAUACAUUGAAUUGAAUGAGUAGAGUUGGUUACAUUGGUCUCUAUUUAUAUUAAUUACUCUAACUAAUUAAUGUUAAGCUAUGGUUACUAACUGUAGUAUCGUUCUCACAGGUUCACCCGAUUGAGAAAUGUAGUAGUUGGACUGGGUUUCAAAGAAAGUACGUGCGAUCACUCUCUGUUUGUUUAUGACACUGGUGGAAUAUUUGUGAUUUUUAUCGUCUACGUUGACGAUAUUAUAAUCACGGGAUCAGAAGAGUUCGUAUAAAAUUUCAUACUAGCAAUUUCAGCAGAAUUUCCGAUUCGAAAUUUGGAGAGACUAAAUCAUUUUUUGGGGAUACAUGUCACACAAGAAAAAUAUGGCUCAAUAUAUUUAACACAACAUCAGUAUGAAAAAUCUAUUCUAGACAAGGUGGAAUUAGAGAACAUGAAGCAAGCAACAGUUCUGAUGGAUCCACGGGUAAAAUUGUAUGAAGAUGAUUUGCUAUUUGACUCCCCAAUGCUAUUUCGAUAGGUAAUUGGGGCACUACAAUAUUUAACCAUUACCCUGACGGACUUAGCAUUUUCGGUAAACAAACUUGCACAAUUCAUGCAAGCUCCGCCUUGAAGCGGCUACUGAGGUAUGUUUCAUGUACAUUGUUUAGGGGACUCCAUAUGACUAAAUUGAAAUCCACGUCUCUAACGACAUACUCUGAUGCGGAUUGGGGAGGAGAUAAAACCGACAGUAGAAGUCAGGGGGCGUUUGUGGUAUACUUUGGCACGAACGUAUCAUGGAGUUCGAGAAAGCAAGCAUCGGUGGCACGGUCGACCACAGAGGCAGAAUAUAGGAGUGUAGCGGACACGGUCACGGAACUCGAAUGGAUAAAGCAACUAUUGGUAGAACUCGGAAUAAUAGUUUCUUUUUCGUUAAUAUAUAGUUUGGUGUGAUAACACUGGAGCAAUUGCAAUAUCGAAAAAUUCAUCGCACCAUAUGAAAUCUAAACAUUUUGCGAUGCAUUAUAACUUCAUCAGAGAAAGGGUGAGAUCAAAGUCACUGUAGGUUAGAUUUAUUGGAACAGCGGAUCAGACGGUAGAUUUAUUAACAAAGCCACUACCCAAAGCAAUGUUCGAAUCUUUGGAAUCCAAGCUCACGGGAGAGCUCCCGCUUUACUUGAGAGGGUGUGUUGGAGUAUAAUUGUAUAACUGUAGAGUUUACUCAUGUAAUUAAUUUUCAGUUAGAUAAUUAGUAUAAAUACUAAUCAUUGUAAACUCAAUAAUUAACACAAUGCAAUCAAUCAUUUGAGAGUAAUUGUAAUAUAUACUACCCUAAGCAUUGUAAAAUAAAUCACUUUGGUUACUUCUAUACAACUGCAAAAUUAAUUAACAAGAUUAAAACGAUCACUAAUUACUAGUCCCAACACAAAUGAGUAUAUUUACGUGGGUGUGUGUUUGAAUUUAAUUAAAUCAGUAAUCAUAAUACGAAUCAAUUUGUCUAACAUUGUAACCUAAUUGAUCUUCUCCCAAAUGAUUAUAAUUAAGAUCAGGAUCAUUCUUGAUAUUCUUCUCCACCUGCUGCGUAUUCAUGUUGAACGAUGAUGAAGGUUGAUAAGAAUGUUGACCACCACCGAGUUGCUGCUGCAUAUUCAUCGAACGCUGAUGAUGACCCAUCUCAUUCAAAUUCAUUACAGUCGUUUCGGCUUGUCUACUGGCAUCCAAUUGGUGAUCUUGGUUGUUCAUCCCGAAAAAAUCAGAAAAAUUCGUUGGAUCUAUAUUGUACCUAGAUGUAUCCCUGAAUAAUCAAUCAAUCAUAGAGUUAUCAAAAUACCCAAUUGAAAUCGAACUAUAUUCUGUAUGUUAAUUACUUGUGAUCGAGAGGAGUGUUAUUUUGCACAGGACGAGGAACAUGUGUAUCGUUCUGAGUAGCGAGAGGAAUAUUAUGAUUAGUAACAUUUGAUAGUUGCAUGGUGUGUUGAGCGUUGUUCUGAAUCCAUGGCAUUGGUGGUUGGGGCGCCAUAUGCAUAGAUUGCAUUCCACCUUGAAACUGAUUGGAUGAACUUCCCUCCAUGUUCGCAAAGUUGAUUCGAUCACACAUUUCCUACAGAUGGAUCGAUGAUCAGAAUUAAGUAGGAUUAUAUAUAGGGUUAGGAGUGCAAAUUAAUUAACCUUCUGUGCAUCAAGAUCAUUCAAAGCAUGUCUGAGAUAAUCUUCAAUUCCAGUAAUAUGUUCUAGUUUAUCGACACUUUCCGGUUCAACCCAAAAACUGUGUUACAUCGUAUUUAUUAAUACAUGAAAUAAAUUCAUCAAACCAAAUGAUUAGGGCAAGGAAUAUACUUGAGUCGAUUCUGAAAUUCCAAUAAUUGUCCUUGUAACAUUCUCAUGUGAUUUCCCAUAUCUUCGAUCGAAUUUGUGCUGCAGAAAAAUCACAAGAUAAGAUUUAAAAUGCAAAACAAUAUCCUUAAUUUCUAAUUAAACGUACCUUGAUCCUACAAAGUCCUGAAUGUUAACAUCGUGAUCCAAUUUUUUGAACGUUUUCUUGAGCACCUUCAUUAUAGUUUGGUAUAUCGAGGGUUAAUUAGAAUCAAUUUUGCAUAAUAGCAUGACAUUUUAAUUAAGACUCGAUCGAGACUUACUUCAAGACUUUCCAGCUUUCUGUUUCAUUCACAUAUGCAUGCAGCAAAUUCAAUAUUAGAUCAGGAAAAAAAGAUUCUCUAAUUUAUAUUAAUAACCAGGAAUUCGAUUAUGAAAUGGGAUAAAAAUACAACCUUUUGGCUCUUUCUUGUGGUGUUUGUUGAGAAAACUUGAGGAGAACUUGGUCGAUAGUGCUGAUCGAUCAAAUAAUUUAAAGAUGUAAAAUAUUUAUUAUGAUACAUGAUGCAAUAUAUAUAUACAGAAAAUAUCAGGCACGGUACCUGUGCUCACCGGACACCGAACGGUACCGUGCCUGGAUACCGUUGAAUUUUGAUCAGUCGUCCAUCGACCAAUGUGAAUGUCGUUCCCACCGGCCAACCAAAAUAGCUGACAUCAGGGCACAUAUCCACUUGGCUAGGAGUUGCCUAGCCAUAGAGAUAUGGGUUUCCUGCCACCUCCGUCAACAAGGUAUGGGUUCCAGAAAUGGUUCCGCGGUUGCGCGUCAAGUUGGAAAUGGUGGGUGUCGUUUCCGCGAUGAUCGCUAACAGGUUGCGUGGAACCACGAUGAAGAUUCCGUGGAUUCCGCAGAAUCGUCUUCGCGGAAUCACUGCGAUGGUGGUUCCGCCGAAUCGCGGAAUCAUCGCGAUGGUAGUUCCGCAGUACUGCGAUGACGUUCCGUGGAAUCGCGGAAUCGUCUCCGCGGAACCAUCGCGAUGGUGGUUCCGCGGAAUCGAGGAUUCGUCUUCGCGGAACCACCGCGAUGGUGGUUCCGUGUUACCACGGUGACGUUCCGGAACGUCAAUGGUGACGUUCCAGACAUGUCUUGACGUGGUGAUUCCCUAACACAUUGGACACCUAUACUGACACCCGCGACGGACGGUCGAGCUUCACGUAGGAGUUGGACGGUCGGAUGUGGUGUCUGUCACAUGUAAUUCACCAGACAUGUAUCGUUCCAGAUGUGCCCCGUAUAUAUAUAUCAUACGAUAUUAAUUAGUAUAUAUAGAAGAAUUCCGAACCUAUUUUCUCCAAGACACAACGUGGCUUUUCCGGCCGGCGAGAACAUGAGAAGUGCAAGAUCAAUGUCACAUAGAAUCGAAAGUUCCGUUGCCUUUUUGACGAUUCCAGCUCUUCGUUUUGAAAAAGUAACCUGUCGACCACCUGUAUUCUCCAAUUUCUUGAUCUUCAAUUUCACCCUUCCCAUCACUAAAGAUUGAACAAGAAGUUUGAAGAGAUCGAUCGAUGCAGGAAUCAAGAAUGCCAAUAUCUGAUGACCAAAGACUGAAAAACGGAAUGAAGGGAGAAUAUUAUAUAUAUAUAUAUAAUCUCUUGAUCUUUAAAUUUUUUUAGCUAUUUAAAUUUAAGGUAGGAAGAUAUUACACCAUACAAAUGGAUAGUGAUCAUUGUCCGACUUUUCGAUGGAGGAAAUAGGAAGAAACAAAGAUGACUGUUUCCUUUGUAUGGUGUAGGAAGAUUUCGAUAGAGGAGAUUUGGGAUAGGAAGAUUUUACACCAUACAAACGAAACGGUCAUCUUUGUUUCUAUGGUAGGAAGAAUAUCUGCUCCAAAAUGUCGCGGAACGGGACGGGUCUAGGCGACCCACCCUGUUUUCACCCACCAUUGUGCAAAAAAAUAGAUUUUCAUCAAUGUAAUUAUCUGUUUUGAUAUGCUAAUUUUUCUUUAAUUGAAGGUUAGGUCGGUAAACGAACCGAAUGCCAUCAUAUUCAAAUUCGUUUAAUAUCCAAAUAUUCGAUUUCGGUUCGUUUUCUUAUCAAAUUUGCAUUUUGCUAUUCAAAUUUGAUUAUUUUAACCGAAUCCGAAUAUUACAUUUAUAAAAAAACCCCAUCUGAUUUAUUUUAUUUUUAAAAAAAAAUCAUGUAUUUAAAAAAUUUAUAAAUUAGUAAAUAAUAAAGUAUAAAUUAUAAAAUUUAAUUUAAUUUAAUUUAAUUUAAAUGAACAGGAUUUUAACGAAUCGAAUAUCCUGAUAUCCGAAUUCGGUUCGUUUAAAUUCAAAUAUCAAAAUUAAAACUCGAUUUCGAAUUCGUUUAUCCGCGUUUAUCCGAAUUCGUGAAUUUCGGAUAUUCAUUUACAGGCCUAUUGAAAGUGUUGCAAUAAGUUUGCAAUCCUCAAAUUUUGAAAUUUUAAUAGAUCAAUGUCAUAUUUUCUUUGACUCGUGAAUGUUUGAUUGUCUUUAUGGGAUAAUUCUAAUCUUAGAAAGUAUUUCAAUUCCCGUAGGUCUUUAAUUGUGUAAUGUUGUUUAAGAUCGGUUUUAAAUUGAUUAAUUGUUCUCAAGCAUGGUUCUGUUAUCAACAUGUUAUCUACAUAAGCUAAUAUAAUUGUUUUUAUGUUGUUCUUAGUUGAAAUGAAUAAAGAAUAAUCAGAAUUGCAUUGGAAGAAUCCAAGUGUAUUUAGUGUUUUCCUAAGUUCAUUAAACCAGCUUUCAGAGGUUUGUUUCAAUCCAUAUAAGGAUUUAUUAAGUUUACACACAAGCUCUUGCUCUUUGUCUGUUUUGCUACAUCCUUUCCAAGGGGUGGAGCAAGUAUUUGUCAGUCUUCGGUACGAUCCUUAAAUGCUGCUGGAGGUGAAUUUUUUGGUGGGAAUAAACGGGUCGGAUAAAAUUUUGACAUGACCUAGCUAUUUAAUUUUGGUAUGAUUUAUUUUUUUCAUUUUUGCCUUUGAAACACUCCAUGUAAGGGCUGGGAGGCUGGAAAUCCCUUCUUAUAGUAGCAAUUAUCCAUUGUAUUUUCAGUUUUCUUACAGCUACUGCAUAUUUUAUCUUUUCACUCUUUUCCUUCAUUAUUUGAUUCUCUGGAUGGUGCAACUUCCUUGAAUUUUAUUUUAUCUUUUGCAUAGUACUUUGGUUUCCCCUGCUGUACCACUAGUGUUGAUGAUGUACUCUAUAUUUUGCUUGCUCCUCUCUGUUGUUCUUUAGUGAGUAAUAUCUGAUGAGCAACAUCCAGUGUGGGUACUGCUUUUAUCAGUAUUACAUGCUCUUGGAAACUUUUAUAAUUCUCAUUAAGUCCCAUUAGGAUCAACCAGCUUUCUAGGGAUAUCUUUCUUAGGAUAUUCAUGUACAAGGUUAUUCCUCAUAGUUGGCAAGCUCAUCCCAUAUGUUCUGGAGCCUUGUGAAGUAAGUUGUAAUAGAUUCCUUUCUUUGAACACACUUUGUCAAUUUUGUUUUAAUGAUAUAAAAAACUAUAUUAAUAUUGAUUUGAUCAGAACUUUCCAGAAGGUAGUUGCAUAAAUGAGUGCCAAUUUUGGUGUCAUAUUGCCAUCCCACCACCAGGUUAUUACAUCUCUUCCAGAAAGCUACCUUUUUGAAUGUUGUUGGGUUUGUCGUUGGUGAUUUGAUAAUGGUUCUAUCAACAAACCCAAACUUGUUCUUUGCAUCAAGUGUUGUUUCCAUCUAGGAUGACCAUAAGUGGUAAUUGCUUCCAAUAAUCUAGUUUGUUGAUCACAAGUUGUGUUGUUAUUUUUUUAUUUGUUGCAAUUGAAUGAUGAAAACAUAGUUGACGAGGAGAGAUUGGUAUCUGAAUUGAAGGCUAACCUGCAACAGAUCGCGAAUAAGAACGAUACUGAAGAGGAUACCGGAGUGAGAACGACGAAGAGGGAGAUUUCCGACCAUCGUCGAUCCACCAGGAAUCGGAUCCCACCAGCCCAAUUCAAAGAUUAUACCCUACCCUAAUAGAAUACUUAAUUGGCAGACUAGUUUAGAUUAAAGAGUGACUAUGUCACAACUUAUCUUUUAAAAUUCAGUAGUAUAAAUUAUGAACAAUUAACUGCAGUUUUUUAUCAAAUAUUUCAAUUAAGUUAUGCAAUUAACACAUGUUGAAGCUGUAGAAUCAAAAUUGUCGACAUAAGAUUAUAUUUUAAUUAUGUUAAUUUUAUCCCUAAUUACACUAUAUAUUAAUCCAAAGGGUAAAAUUAGUCAAGAUUAGACCUAAAUUAAUUCAUAAAUUAAUUAAGUCAAGGUUUAAUCAAAGUCAAAAUCGAAAUGGUUAAAUUGCAUAAAACACUUUGAAUAUAUUUAUUGUUAUCUCUAACAUUUUAGUCAAGAUAUAAUAACCAAAAAGCAAAAGACACUAUUCACAAAAAAAAUCUUCUCAAGAUCUUCUCAAAGGAAAUCUACUAUUCAGGCUUCUACUAUUCACAAAAAGCAAGCUUCUACUAUUUUAAGCUUCUACUAUUCAAGCUUCUACUAUUCACAAAAAGUAAGCUUCUACUAUUCAAGCUUUUUGGGAAGACAAAAUCUUGGACAUUUGUGAGGAAUCAAGGAACCAUCCAUUGAAGAUCCAAGGGUGGACAAGUGAUGACCUAGGCUAUAAAUAGAGGACCAAACUCUCCAUUUUCGUUCACCACAUUUCAAACACUCCAAAGAGUUUUUCAUUUUUCAUCUUGAGAUCUACAAAGUGUUCUUGUUUCCAAGGUUCUAAGCUUCCAAAAGCUCUCAAGUGUCCAAGCUUCUAAAAGCUUCAAAAGCUCUCCAACUUCUACUUCUAACCUUCUUGUUCAUCUUUACAAGUAAGAAGUUUUGUGUACUUUAAACAUUCCACUCCUUUAAUCCUCUCUUAUGUCUGUCCACUUUGGUUGAAAGGUUUUGUCUCAAUAUCACCAAAGUGUGAGGGAAGGUUUUUGAGCUCAACCAUAAAGCUCUUGUUUGGUUUUAUAGAGUUUCCGGAAAAAACUCUUAGGUGGAAUCUACCUUGAAAGAUUAAGAAAGGUUUUUAAGAGUUCCUUAAUACUCUAAGGUCCUAACUUACGCGUAAAAGUUAGAGGUUCUUAAGAGUGCCCUUGAUACUUUAAGGUGUGAGUCUACCCGUAAAAGACUGGUUCCUAAGCGAAGUAGCCUUAAAGUUUAAAGAGGUUUUUAAAAGUUCCUUGAUACUCUAAGGUACUAACUUACCCGUAAAAGUUAGAGGUUCUUAAAAGUGCCCUUGAUACUCU
rnacentral:lncRNA from 1 species